rnacentral:rRNA from 1 species
AUUGAACGCUGGCGGCAGGCCUAACACAUGCAAGUCGAGCGGCAGCGGGAAAGUAGCUUGCUACUUUUGCCGGCGAGCGGCGGACGGGUGAGUAAUGCCUGGGAAAUUGCCCAGUCGAGGGGGAUAACAGUUGGAAACGACUGCUAAUACCGCAUACGCCCUACGGGGGAAAGCAGGGGACCUUCGGGCCUUGCGCGAUUGGAUAUGCCCAGGUGGGAUUAGCUAAUUGGUGAGGUAAUGGCUCACCAAGGCGACGAUCCCUAGCUGGUCUGGGAGGAUGAUCAGCCACACUGGAACUGAGACACGGUCCAGACUCCUACGGGAGGCAGCAGUGGGGAAUAUUGCACAAUGGGGGAAACACUGAUGCAGCCAUGCCGCGUGUGUGAAGAAGGCCUUCGGGUUGUAAAGCACUUUCAGCGAGGAGGAAAGGUUGUUGGCUAAUAUCCAACAGCUGUGACGUUACUCGCAGAAGAAGCACCGGCUAACUCCGUGCCAGCCGCCGCAGUAAGAC